UUGUGCCAAGGCUUUUGUGGUAGGCAGAGAAUGGCACGGACGCAGUAAAGGCAGUGGAGCCUACAGCACGAUCACGGGUUAACAUUACACAGCAUUUGGGUUUAAAACGCGCGUAAAGAGUCACUAAGACACGACGAAAGCGUUGGGAGAAAGUGAACUGGGAAGAAUUUUCUCCAUCUGCAGGGGAGGAAAGGAUUCCCUACAAAACCACAAGAGGGUGAUCUUCCAGUACACAAACCCUGACUUUUCAUCAACUCGGGAAACGGUCAUUUCAGGAAAUUCUUGUCAUGAUAUGCAAUAAAGCUUUAACAGCUA